CCCAUUAGAAAAUGGUCCUGACAAUAAGGAGUUAAAGUGUUUGUUUAUAUCUCUGUUAGUCUGUAACAUACAAGAAAAUCCACCAAUCAUAUUUAUGUGUAAAACUGAACUCUGCAGAUCUGCUUAGCGAUAGAUGAGUGAGUUAUGAAGGGAUCAUUGUGAUUGGUUAAAAAAUGUUAUAGCUCCGCCCCUUGCAGAGCGAGUGGAUGUGUGUGAGAACGGAGGGAGAUGCAAACUAAGAUGUGAACAGCGGAAAGCUAAACUCAUGUAAAUAUGGCUUCAAACUGUUUUAUUUGUUAAAAUUGGUUUAAGAGUUUCUUUGUAUAAGUUCAAGGAACUGCUGGAGUUUUUGUUUAUUUUUAUUUUUAUCCCGAGACGGAAAGCACGUUCAUUGAAUCUCGGCCAGGUUUUUUGAUUGAAUUGAUUUCUCUUCCGGAUGGAGGAUGGCGAGCCAACCAGCUUGAAUGUUGAAACUUUCAGCAGAUCUUUAUGUUCAGGCAACUCCUGAUCACCAGUGCUGUGG